rnacentral:tRNA from 1 species
AGUGGUUUUGUGGCAAAGACACCAGGCUAAUAACCUGAAGGGUCACUGGUUCCAGCCCAGC